GCUGAACCAUAAUUUACACGUAACAUUUAUGAGCUGUUAGAAGCUUUGGACACUACCUCUUUGUCUCUUUUUGGAUCCAAAAGGAGAUUUAAAACUUCUGCUUUUGGUUUGGUUUUCAGCAAAACAGAGUUCCCUGCUACAGUGCUUAAGGGAACUCUGGCUAGCUUAAACUCCAGCUGGUUCAAACAAACCAGGAUCAAACUGCGGUUUACAGUUGCUUAACUAGAGUUUCAAGUAACCAGAGUUCUCUGAGUUUGGACGUUACCAGGAAACUCUGCCAGAUUUAAAACUGGAAGCAGAUUAUUCCAAUCACUUCCUCUGGUGCAUGGAAAGGGGGGAAUGGGAGAGUUCCAGGCUUGUUGUAGUUCAUGCAUGUAAUGCUAAAACACAGUUUGGCAUGGCAUCCGAAUGAGUCCAUUACCCUUUUAAUGGCAAGAAUGGAACUUGAAAAUUGCCCCUUUUCUAUUAGCUUAAUUUAGGAAAGACUAACCCACACUUUACUACACCCAGGAAUACUCAUGCUGAUGAGAGAUUCAGCAGUGCUUAUUAUUCUAGAGUUAACAACCAGCAUUAACCCCUUCCACAUCACAUUUUUGAAAUAAAAUGAAUGUUUUAUAAGACCUAACCAGAUAAGCAUUCCUGAAUCACAUCUCCCCAUAUCUUUCCUUUCCACUCUGCCAUGUUGCUUCUGUCUGCACAGAAGCACAAUAUUCCUUCCUCGCUGCCCGUCCCCAUUUCAUUCUGCUAGACUGGUGGUUUCACUUGUAACAUUGACAUUCACAGUGCACA